rnacentral:rRNA from 1 species
GGACUACCGGGGUUUCUAAUCCUGUUUGAUCCCCACGCUUUCGGGUCUGAGUGUCAGUGUCUGGCCAGCUACCCGCCUUCGCCACCGGUAUUCCUCCUGAUAUCUACGUAUUUCACCACUACACCAGGAAUUCUAGUAGCCUCUCCAGCACUCAAGCUUCGCAGUAUCAAGCGCACUUCCGAGGUUAAGCCCCGGGCUUUCACGCCUGACUUACAAAGCCACCUACACCCGCUUUACGCCCAAUGAUUCCGAACAACGCUCGGGUCCCUCGUCUUACCGCGGCUGCUGGCAC